rnacentral:lncRNA from 1 species
GUUUUCAGGCUUGGAAAGGUUGAAGGAGCAAUGACAGGUGUCCUGGGGCUCGAAUGACCGGCCGAGGCGGCAGAAGCCGGCCCGGUCGCUGUAGAGCUCUCUUGGAUGCAGUAGCAGCGCUCACUCAGCCUCUUCUGCCUCCCCCACAUCCACAUCGAGGGAAAUCCAACCCUUGGCUGAGGCCUGAAAGAAGACCUGCAUUCAUGCCACAGAGGGGAGGGCUGCCCAGCUGCCAAAAGGACAAGCCCAGUGGAGUCAUGGUCAGAUGUCCUUUCCUCUCUGCCCACCCUUUUGUUUCCAUUUCUUCUCUUCUUCUCUCCCUCUUUCCUCGAUGCCUUCUGUUUGUUUAUCUUUUGCUCUGUGUGUUUUUGAGACCAGCUCUCCCUUUGUAGCCUAUGCUCACCUGGAACUCCCUGUGUAGACCAUGGAAAUGCUUCUGACUCUGCCUUCUAAAUUCUUGGGAAGAUGGACUGCUGAGCUGCGGCACUUACUGCUAAGCCUGAAGACCUGAAUUCAGUCUCCGGAACUCACGUGGUAGGAGAGAAAGAACCAACUCCUGAAAGUUGUCCUCUGACCGCCACAUGUAAUGGGGACACAGGCAACUUGCCUAGUAGGCCCAUGUAUACAGCUGAGUGUUUGGACCAAUCAGGGCCAUUUGUUUGGGCCAAACCCCCAUCUUGCCUCUCAGCAUUGUGAAAUUCCUCUAGUAAGCCACCAGAGGGAGUGUUCCACCCCUGUCGAAGGUGGAAAUGAUUGCAGGGUCACCUAGAGUUCAUCAAGGCUUGGGAUAGUGAAAAUUCUGAUACCUCCAGGAGCUUCGGCAGGCGGCUGCAGUCUUUGUGUAGUUACCCCUGUCAGUGUUCUAGAUUGCUGAUUCUGGCACAGGAUGAUCUGAUGGCUGUGAGAUUUUUGCUCCAGGGAGUCAGGGAGAGCUGACGUAGUCAUGGAAACUGUCUCAAGCCUAAUGAUUUUGCUUAGUUACAGGAAAAUGAUCACUGGUAGGAGUGUUCACUUAUAAACACAUAGAACUUAUUAUUUUAACAAUAAGAGUGAUUUCUUUAAAAGAUUAUUUAUUUAUUUAUUUAUUUAUUUAUAUGAGUGCACCAUUGCUCUCUUCAGACAUACCAGAAAAGGGCAUCAGAUCUCAUUACAGAUGGUUGUGAGCCACCAUGUGGUUGCUGGGAAUUGAACUCAGGACCUCUGGAAGAACAGUCAGUGCUCUUAACCACUGAGCCAUCUCUCCAGCCCACUAAGGAUUAUUUUUAAAACAGACUGAAGAGAGUUCAUCACCUGCCCAGUGCCCCAGAGAGUUGAGCGCUCCUUAUAUGUGUCAGUAGGAAAUCAUCAAGACAUAUAGAGUG